GCGCUCACUCCCCUUGGCAGCACAUGUUCUGAAACUAGAACAAACACAGAGAAAGUUAGUAUGGUCCCUGUGCAAGGAUGACAUAAAUUUAAGAAGCAUUCCUUUUUUUU